UGGCUCAGAUUGAACGCUGGCGGCAGGCCUAACACAUGCAAGUCGAACGGUAACAGGAAGCAGCUUGCUGCUUGCUGACGAGUGGCGGACGGGUGAGUAAUGUCUGGGAAACUGCCCGAUGGAGGGGGAUAACUACUGGAAACGGUAGCUAAUACCGCAUAAUGUCGCAAGACCAAAGAGGGGGACCUUCGGGCCUCUUGCCAUCGGAUGUGCCCAGAUGGGAUUAGCUUGUUGGUGAGGUAACGGCUCACCAAGGCGACGAUCCCUAGCUGGUCUGAGAGGAUGACCAGCCACACUGGAACUGAGACACGGUCCAGACUCCUACGGGAGGCAGCAGUGGGGAAUAUUGCACAAUGGGCGCAAGCCUGAUGCAGCCAAUGCCGCGUGUAUGAAGAAGGCCUUCGGGUUGUAAAGUACUUUCAGCGGGGAGGAAGGGGUUAAGGUUAAUAACCUUAGCCAUUGACGUUACCCGCAGAAGAAGCACCGGCUAACUCCGUGCCAGCCGCGGC
rnacentral:rRNA from 1 species